UUAAAAUUGAUUAAGUUAUUUGAAAAAAAUAUAUAGUUUAAAAAAACUAAGAAAACAUGCUUUUAAAGCACAUCAAACUAAAAAGUUAGAAAUAAUUUUUAGUUCGAUAUGCUUUAAAAGCGUNGUUUUUUAGUUUUUUUAAACUAUAUUUAUUUUUCACUUUUUAGUUUCAUGUUAUGAUAGUAGUUACUAUCAAUAUCAUGGUUGUAACGGGUAACGGGAAAUCAGGGUUCGAUUCCGGGGAGGGUGUCUGAGAAACGGCUGCCACAUCCGAGGAAAGCAGCAGGCGCGUAAUUUACCCACUCCCGGAACAUGGAGGUAGUGAUGAAAAAUGACGAUACUGGAUUCAUCCUUUGUAAUCGGAAUGAAUGAGUUCUAUAUCAUUAAAUAAGAAUAAACGCUAUUACAACACAUCAAAGUCAUUAGAAGCCUCCAAAAAUGCAUUGGUUUCUUAACCAUGAGUACAAAAAGAUAAAUGGUAAGAAUAUCUCCUGAGAUGGGAAUGUCCAUGAU